rnacentral:pre_miRNA from 9 species
UCUCGACAGCGUAGAAGUUAACUCAAAUUUGUAUGGAGUUGGAACGUUUGCCAGGUUUGCCUGCGUUUGCCGCUAGGGGCGUUGUUCCAAUUGCAUACAAAAUUUUAAUUUACUUUUACGCUAUCGA